UACGUAGGGUGCAAGCGUUGUCCGGAAUUAUUGGGCGUAAAGAGCUCGUAGGCGGUUUGUCGCGUCGGCUGUGAAAACCCGGGGCUCAACCCCGGGCCUGCAGUCGAUACGGGCAAACCUAGAGUGUGGGUAGGGGAGACUGGAAUUCCUGGUGUAGCGGUGAAAUGCGCAGAUAUCAGGAGGAACACCGGUGGCGAAGGCGGGUCUCUGGGCCAUAACUGACGCUGAGGAGCGAAAGCGUGGGGAGCGAACA
rnacentral:rRNA from 1 species